UUUGAAAUCCAUGUAAUUUUUUCACAAUAAACUUCAUAAACUUUUUGAAGACUCCCUUAAAUGCAUGGAUUUAUCGUUUUUCUUUGCACCACAAUAAGCCCCAGUUUUAACUUCACUUUCUCAUGGACAUUGUAAGGUUCUCUUGCAGCCCUCUCUCAUGUUCCCGUGGUACUGUUUUUCUGGAGAAUUCUGGCCAGUGCAACACACUGUUGCACCUGCUCAUGAUGAUCAUCACUGCUCCCCCAGGUGUUCUCAGACAGUCACUACUGCAGGUCAAGGUCCCUGACCCCUGAUGGAGAGCCCGCCCCCAAAGCAGGAACUUGAAGAAAAGGAGCCUGUGAUUGGCUGAGGACACAUCUUCAGGGAAUGGCCAAAGAGAAUUUGUCAUGUUGUGUGGAUGAGCAAACUUCCUCUGCCUCACCCGGGAAGGUGAGUCCCCUCCAGGCUUUGGUCAUCGUAAUGUUCUGAGCACUGGGUUUGCAAAGCGCUCUCUCCGUAUUAAUCCACACCUCACACAAGAGACAGCUAGGGUCCCUGAGAGGUGAGUGGAUUAGCUCAGGUGUGUGGUAUGGAUAUGGAGCUCAGAGAAGACUGAAUUGGAAGGUCUUCUAUGUCAGUUGUCCUUCUAAGAAGUCCUGCUCAGGGCUCAGGGUCAUCCCUGAGUUUGCAGAGAGACCCAAAGAGAAACAGUGCAAGUUCAAGGACACAUAGUUAAGGACUUGUGUGUGUCCUGCUGAGUCUGCUCCCAUUCUUAGCUUAUUCACACCAUCAAUCAUCAUUUAUGGAGUGCUUUAAUACCACCCACAAUCAGAUUUUGUUCUCUCUGGUGUUCUUUGCUCCUCCUUUGCAAGGGUUUGGGGUUUGUUUAUCUAAGGGUACCUCCUUACAAAUGCAAAAAUAUUCUCAGUGCUAUUAUCCAUUGAAAAAUUGCCUAUAACUAGUUUGAAAGGCUUCUUUGGGCUCAGGACUCAAUUCUGUUUAAGCCCAUAAUCAGAAGCUAUUUACAAACGUGUUUUCUCCACCUGACUUUGCACAGUUCAUCUGGUUCCUUUGUUUGUGUAUUUUUUUUUAUUGGUUCACUUUGUUUUAUUGUGUGGAAUUCAUUUAAAGUGCUUCCAUCUUAUAAUUAUAUGGGAUUUAGGGGUAAUUCAUUCUGAAGUGUAUACCUAAUAAAUAAAUUACUUUUUCCUGGCUGUUAAUGUUUAACUGGUUCUAUUGGAAGAAAAAAAACAGCAAGAGAAAGAUGAAGAUACAGCUUUUGUUAAACGGAAGAGAAAAAGUGCCCAUUCUGCUUGGAAAAGAACUUCAAACACGCUUAGUGAUGAAUCAAAAGUGAGCAAUAAACAGUAAACAAGCAUACCCCCAACGCAGAGGAUGCGUCAUCACUUCAGUGAAAAGAAGGUGCUAGAAAUCAGAAAAGUUGCUGCUCAUCA